UACAGAGGGUGCAAGCGUUGUUCGGAAUUAUUGGGCGUAAAGGGCGCGUAGGCGGUGCGGUAAGUCUGUAGUGAAAUCUCUGGGCUCAACUCAGAGUCUGCUGCAGAAACUGCCGUGCUUGAGUGUGGGAGAGGUGAGUGGAAUUCCCGGUGGAGCGGUGAAAUGCGUUGAUAUCGGAAGGAACGCCGGUGGCGAAAGCGGUCCGCUGGCCCUCUACUGACGCUGAGGCGCGAAAGCCAGGGGGAGCAAACGGGG
rnacentral:rRNA from 1 species